CCAGAAAGGGACGGCUAANUACGUGCCAGCAGCCGCGGUAAUACGUAGGUCCCGAGCGUUGUCNGGAUUUAUUGGGCGUAAAGCGAGCGCAGGCGGUUAGAUAANUCUGAAGUUAAAGGCAGUGGCUCAACCAUUGUAGGCUUUGGAAACUGUUUAACUUGAGUGCAGAAGGGGAGAGUGGAAUUCCAUGUGUAGCGGUGAAAUGCGUAGAUAUAUGGAGGAACACCGGUGGCGAAAGCGGCUCUCUGGUCUGUAACUGACGCUGAGGCUCGAAAGCGUGGGGAGCGAACAGGAUUAGAUACCCUGGUAGUCCACGCCGUAAACGAUGAGUGCUAGGUGUUAGGUCCUUUCCGGGACUUAGUGCCGCAGCUAACGCAUUAAGCACUCCGCCUGGGGAGUACGACCGCAAGGUUGAAACUCAAAGGAAUUGACGGGGGCCCGCACAAGCGGUGGAGCAUGUGGUUUAAUUCGAAGCAACGCGAAGAACCUUACCAGGUCUUGACAUCCCGAUGCCCGCUCUAGAGAUAGAGCUUUACUUCGGUACAUCGGUGACAGGUGGUGCAUGGUUGUCGUCAGCUCGUGUCGUGAGAUGUUNGGUUAAGUCCCGCAACGAGCGCAACCCUUAUUGUUAGUUGCCAUCAUUCAGUUGGGCACUCUAGCGAGACUGCCGGUAAUAAACCGGAGGAAGGUGGGGAUGACGUCAAAUCAUCAUGCCCCUUAUGACCUGGGCUACACACGUGCUACAAUGGCUGGUACAACGAGUCGCAAGCCGGUGACGGCAAGCUAAUCUCUGAAAGCCAGUCUCAGUUCGGAUUGUAGGCUGCAACUCGCCUACAUGAAGUCGGAAUCGCUAGUAAUCGCGGAUCAGCACGCCGCGGUGAAUACGUUCCCGGGCCUUNUA
rnacentral:rRNA from 1 species